GGAUGGAGUACCAGCAGCAGAGGGAACCAAUGGACCCAGCACAGCUGACAGAACCCCCGAGGAGGCAAGCUUUGACCGGGCGGUAAUAAUCAGGCUGGCACAUUAUGGUCCCAACCCAUCUGCAGAGAUCAUCGACCGGGUCAUGGCCGCUGUGGAGACCAAUCUGCUACGCCAAAGCGGUGCUGCAGCAGCCCCAGUCACAGCAAACCCGGGGGAAAGAAAGAAAGUGCCG